AUAUCUCUCCGUACGGGAAGGAUGAGAAGCUUCGACCAAGGUUCGAUUCGAGCGCAGCGAGAAAGCGUUGCCGCAGGCAACGACCCGAAGGGCGAAGCG
rnacentral:sRNA from 1 species